CACGUAGGGCGCAAGCGUUGUCCGGAAUUAUUGGGCGUAAAGAGCUCGUAGGCGGUCUGUUGCGUCCGCUGUGAAAACUCGGGGCUUAACCCCGAGCCUGCAGUGGAUACGGGCAGACUAGAGGUAGGUAGGGGAGAAUGGAAUUCCCGGUGUAGCGGUGAAAUGCGCAGAUAUCGGGAGGAACACCGGUGGCGAAGGCGGCAUCCUGGACCAAUUCUGACACUGAGGAGCGAAAGCCAGGGGAGCAAACGGG
rnacentral:rRNA from 1 species